rnacentral:rRNA from 1 species
UCAGGCCUAACACAUGCAAGUCGAACGGUAACAGGUCUUCGGAUGCUGACGAGUGGCGAACGGGUGAGUAAUACAUCGGAACGUGCCCAGUAAUGGGGGAUAGCCCGGCGAAAGCCGGAUUAAUACCGCAUACGCCCUGAGGGGGAAAGUGGGGGACCGCAAGGCCUCUCGUUAUUGGAGCGGCCGAUGGCUGAUUAGCUAGUUGGUAGGGUAAAGGCCUACCAAGGCGACGAUCAGUAGCUGGUCUGAGAGGACGAUCAGCCACACUGGGACUGAGACACGGCCCAGACUCCUACGGGAGGCAGCAGUGGGGAAUUUUGGACAAUGGGGGAAACCCUGAUCCAGCAAUGCCGCGUGUGCGAAGAAGGCCUUCGGGUUGUAAAGCACUUUGUCAGGGAAGAAAUCCUUUGGGCUAAUACCCUAGGGGGAUGAC